AUUUUUUUAGGUUUUGAUUUUUAUUGCAUCUUCAUGCGAAAAUCAAAACCUAAAGAAAAUG
rnacentral:pre_miRNA from 1 species